rnacentral:rRNA from 1 species
GACGAACGCUGGCGGCGUGCUUAACACAUGCAAGUCGAACGAAGUGGCGAACGGGUGAGUAACGCGUAAUCAACCUGCCCUUCAGAGGGGGACAACAGUUGGAAACGACUGCUAAUACCGCAUACUGAAGGAGGGGAUUGCGUCUGAUUAGCUAGUUGGGGGGGUAACGGCCCACCAAGGCGAUGAUCAGGAGCCGGUGUGGUGGGAUGAACGGCCAAAAUGGGAAUGGGAAACGGCCCAGACUGCUACGGGGGGCAGGAGUGGGGAAUCUUCCGCAAUGGAGGAAAGUCUUACGGAGCAACGCCGCGUGAGUGAUGACGGCCUUCGGGUUGUAAAGCUCUGUUAAGCGGGACGCGGUACCGGAAUAGAAAGCCACGGCUAACUACGUGCCAGCAGCCGCGGUAAUAC